UACGGGGGGGGCAAGCGUUGUUCGGAAUUACUGGGCGUAAAGGGCGUGUAGGCGGCCAACUAAGUCCGACGUGAAAUCCCCAGGCUUAACCUGGGAACUGCGUCGGAUACUGGAUGGCUUGAAUCCGGGAGAGGGAUGCGGAAUUCCAGGUGUAGCGGUGAAAUGCGCAGAUAUCAGGAAGAACACCAAUGGCGAAAGCAGCUCUCUGGGACGGUACUGACGCUGAGACGCGAAAGCGUGGGGAGCGAACAGG
rnacentral:rRNA from 1 species